CACUCCUGCGGGAGGCAGCAGUGGGGAAUAUUGGACAAUGGGCGCAAGCCUGAUCCAGCCAUGCCGCGUGAGUGAUGAAGGCCCUAGGGUUGUAAAGCUCUUUCACCGGUGAAGAUAAUGACGGUAACCGGAGAAGAAGCCCCGGCUAACUUCGUGCCAGCAGCCGCGGUAAUACGAAGGGGGCUAGCGUUGUUCGGAUUCACUGGGCGUAAAGCGCACGUAGGCGGACUAUUAAGUCAGGGGUGAAAUCCCGGGGCUCAACCCCGGAACUGCCUUUGAUACUGGUAGUCUUGAGUUCGAGAGAGGUGAGUGGAAUUCCGAGUGUAGAGGUGAAAUUCGUAGAUAUUCGGAGGAACACCAGUGGCGAAGGCGGCUCACUGGCUCGAUACUGACGCUGAGGUGCGAAAGCGUGGGGAGCAAACAGGAUUAGAAACCCUAGUAGUCC
rnacentral:rRNA from 1 species